GACGAACGCUGGCGGCGUGCCUAAUACAUGCAAGUAGAACGCUGAAGCGAGGAGCUUGCUCUUCUUGGAUGAGUUGCGAACGGGUGAGUAACGCGUAGGUAACCUGCCUUGUAGCGGGGGAUAACUAUUGGAAACGAUAGCUAAUACCGCAUAACAAUGGAUGACACAUGUCAUUUAUUUGAAAGGGGCAAUUGCUCCACUACAAGAUGGACCUGCGUUGUAUUAGCUAGUAGGUGAGGUAAUGGCUCACCUAGGCGACGAUACAUAGCCGACCUGAGAGGGUGAUCGGCCACACUGGGACUGAGACACGGCCCAGACUCCUACGGGAGGCAGCCGUAGGGGAUCUUCGGCAAUGGGGGCAACCCUGACCGAGCAACGCCGCGGGAGUGAAGAAGGGUUUCGGAUCGUAAAGCUCUGUUGUAAGUCAAGAACGGGUGUGAGAGUGGAAAGUUCACACUGUGACGGUAGCUUACCAGAAAGGGACGGCUAACUACGUG
rnacentral:rRNA from 1 species